GAUUAACGCUAGCGGCAGGCAUAAUACAUGCAAGUUGAACGGCAGCACAGGUAGCAAUACUGGGUGGCGAGUGGCGCACGGGUGCGUAACACGUAUGCAAUCUACCCUAUACAGGCGAAUAACCUUUAGAAAUGAGGGCUAAUACGCCGUAGUAUUACAGAUGGGCAUCUAUUUGUAAUUAAAGAUUUAUCGGUAUAGGAUGGGCAUGCGUCCCAUUAGUUAGUUGGUAAGGUAACGGCUUACCAAGACGAUGAUGGGUAGGGGAUCUGAGAGGACUUACCCCCACACUGGUACUGAGACACGGACCAGACUCCUACGGGAGGCAGCAGUAAGGAAUAUUGGGCAAUGGCCGCGAGGCUGACCCAGCCAUGCCGCGUGCAGGAAGACGGCCUUAUGGGUUGUAAACUGCUUUUAUACGGGAAUAAUAGAGUGUACGCGUACAUUUAUGCAAGUAUCGUAUGAAUAAGCAUCGGCUAACUCCGUG
rnacentral:rRNA from 1 species